AAAUUCUUUUAUAUGUAUAGUUCAUAAUUUAUUUAAACAAUCUCCAAUUCUUGCCCAUUUUGUUAGAUUCCAAUAGUUUUUUUCCCUAUCAUAAACAAUGCUGCAAUGACCAUAUUUGUAUAUGGUUCUUGUUUAUGUACAUCAGUAUUUCCCCAGAAUAGAUGGUGUGUACUAUAGAAUUAGAAGAUAUUGCCAAACUGUUCUCCAAAAGGUCUAUACACUACUAACUUACACCUUCACCCCCAGGGAAGGAGAAUGAUUUCUCAUACUCUGAUCCAAUACAUUUGUUACUUUGUUUUGUUCAGGGCUGGUGGGUUCAGAGGAGCUUAGGGUGGGACAAAAGAUAUGGUGCCACAGACCUGACCUGGGAGGUAAUAGCAGGACAAGUGACACAGCAGUCAUCUAUGACAUGGGCCAGUGACCUAAAAGACUGAGAUGCACCUCAUCAGACACUAACCAAGGGUUGGGAACAUCAGCAGGGAAGACCAGAGAAGGAAGAAGAAUGGGAGAUGGAAGAUUCUCAGAGAAAAACAUCAGGAAGCAACUGUGUUCAUUUUGUUGGACAGAUGAAAUUUUCUGCCACCAAAAUAAAUGGUGACUGGGGAGUUGUGUUCAACUGGGGAAAAAAAUGAAGUUACAGUUUUGCACAUCAAAGACGGUGUCUAUGAAAUGCAUAAGCCCCUCAAGAAACAGGCAGUUUUAUGAAGCUUUCUUAGGAUGUUUCUAGCAAGUCCUUGUUUUGAGAAUUGAAUAAAGAAAAGAAAAGGUAACAUUUUAAAAUCUCAAAUUAGAUUUGUCCCAGAGAAGGACAGGCAAGAAUUUUGUAAAUCCAAGCUUAUGUUAUGGUUUAGAUAUUAGGUGUCUCUCAAAAGCUCAUGUGUGAGACAAUGCAAGAAGGUUUACAGGAGAAAUAAUUGGGUUAGGAGAGCCUUAACCCAAUGAGUGAGUUAAUCCCCUGAUGGGAUUAACAGGGUAGAAAAUGAAGGUAGGUAGGAUGUGCUGGAGGAGGUGGGUUCACUGGGGGCGGGCAUUAGAGUAGAUAGUUUAUAUCUGGCAAGUGGAGUCUCUUUGCUUGCUGAUCAUCAUGUGAGGGGCUUCUCUCCACCUCACUCUUCUGCCAUGAUGUUGACCUCGAGGCCCAAGGAACGGAACCGGCUGUCCAUGGACUGAGACAUCUGAAACCGUGAGCUCCCAAAUAAACUUUUCCUCCUCUAAAAUUGUUCUUGUCAGGUCUUUUAGUCACAGCAGCAAAAACCGCUAACUAAAACAAAUGUACGUCAACAUCAACUCUAAAAACCAAUCAAAGGCCCUAUUGUUCCAGUUCCUGACACUUUUUAAAGGCCAUUGAACCUCAAAAUGAGUUCAUGAAAGAGCCAAAGCCAUCAAUCAGUUAGUUGUUGCUUCUGGGAAGUAAAACUGGAUAAUUUGAGUGAUGAGACUAGGAGGUAGGCUUAAUUUUGUUGAAUAUCUUUUUAUGCCUUUGCGUUUUAUAUAAUGUCCACUGUUCAAAAAUUCUUAAUUUUAAGACCAUGGAGUAGAUGACAUCAAAUGACUUGGUGAGUGUUUAGUCUGUUGGGAAUUCCAACAGUUCAUCAACCAGUGAAUCUGCAGAUCUCAGAAUCAUAGAUGCAACAGCCUCCUCCACUGACAGCCUAAAAAAUUCAAGGAUUUGUUCUUUUCAACAAAUAAUGGGGAAGAAGAGGACAAGGUCUUCCAGCCUCCCAAAUCAAGGAGAUACAGAAAGGCAGGAUGGGAGGGGGAGGGGCUUAACAGUCCCAAGGUCAACACUUAGGAAGGCUGUAGAAAAGAAGAGCUAGUUUAAAUCUAAUUGACCUGAAGAGAUCACAACUGAGAAGGAUAAGACCAAGCCAGUGUCUCCACACUACAGAUCCACCUCUUGACCUCUCAGAGCCUUAGUUUUCUCCUCUUUAAAAUGGGAAUCGUAUCGACUCAAGUUUUUGCAAGGGUUAAAGAAGUCUAUAUACUAAAACUCAUGUGUAGUAUGGUGCCUGUGACAUUAAAGUGUUUGUUUAAUGCUUACCCCAAUUCUUCCAGCCCCGUAUAGAAGGAAGAAAGACCCGUGAAGGAGAUGAACUCGGAGUCACUAUAAGUAACUAGGCCCUUUUUGAUAAGCACAGGAGGCACAUGCAUCCUGAGAUUUAGAAGGAGUUAAUGCAACCCAAAGGAAGGAUUUUCCUAUCCUUUUCCCAGUUGGGAGGAUUUUCAUAGAAAGGGAGGGUCCCCCAGAUGAUCCCAUUACUAUUAAACCUAGUUCCCUGAGGGAGAAAAAAAAAAGAUUUUCUCUUUUCUUCUGAAUUUAUAUGUUU
rnacentral:lncRNA from 1 species